GUGGUCAUGUGGCCGGCGUGACUAAACAUCAAAGGCGCAUGGAACAAAGGUCUCCAUCUGCCUUAUCAGUCAUUUGAUAAAAAUCCAGUCAUGGAGCAAUACUAUCAGUGAUGAGAUUUCAGAAAUGGUACCUGGGAGAGGGAAAUGUUAUUCUUGUUAUUAAACAAAUUGGAAAAGCAAUACACGGAUUAACCCUUGACUAAAUUGCUUUAGAUAAUUUUUUCAAGGAAGGAGUAUGUUCUACUUCAUGUAUAAGAAGCAACAAAAAUGCUCCUUGAAUCUAGUUAGGAGAUGUGCCUAAUAAAGGACUUUAUUUGAGCC